GGCACCAGGAACGCAGCGAGCGGCCGCCGGCCCCGAAUCCUCGCCCCUUUUGCCUUAUACGGUAAGAAGGGCUCGUCCCGCCGCCCCAUCCGCGGACGACAGGGGGUGGAGUCGUAUGCAAAUCGCCGCCACAAACAUAAAUAGAACGGCCCGAGCGCGCUGCGGGUUGGGCGGAACAGUGCGGGCUGUCGCUCCUCUCCUCGCUUGCACGCGCGCGUACACACAACCGGCGGCGGCAGGACGCCGCGUCGCUCUCCCAGCCCGCCUCGUGGCGUCACGAGCUGUGGGAAAAAAGGGGCCAGGCCUCUCUCUGACGCCACGCGAGGAGCGGAAUGUGGAGGCGGGGCCGGGGCCUCACCCCGCUCACCUCUGCGGGAACGCCGGGCGGGGAGGCGGCUGCGGGCAGCCGCGCUCGCAGCAGGGGAAAAAUGGCACCUGCUGGAUUUAUAUAGCUAACCUCGACUGAGUAUUUGCGCUGCCUGGGAGCCCGAGCGCUACAGGCAACAGUUACAGAUGUCGGACUUGGUUCUACUGCUCAUAGUGCGCUGGUUUCUGUGUGUCUGAGGGCAGAGGAAGGAAACGCGUGGAACAGUUUAAAAAAAAAUAAAAUCACGGUAACCUGUGCUUGACAGCAGAGGAGAAGUAUAUCUGACUCCGGGCCCCUCACUUAGCCUUCAUUAAUCAUUCCUCACAUCUUGAAACAGUUUUCUUCUACAUUGCUCCACUGCUAUUUCUGCUUUAAACAAGCGUCUAGCGAGGCAGUAGCAAUGCUGUUCUAAACUGGGUAUUGGCUGUUCUUCACCAGGUCUUAGCCACCUGCUGCAAUAGAAAUAACAUGUUAACGCUGCUGGAAGAAUUCUUCCUGUCAUAGCAAAGGAGGUUACAGUAAAAACUGACAAGUACAGCAAUGAAAAAUAGAGCUUCCAUAAUAAGCAAAAGUAGCCCAAAUGUUUGUUAUCUUAAUUUAGUCAUCCUUCUGCCUUUUCAGAUCUGGGAAAAAAUUAUCAAAUUCACUUAGGAAGUCCCAGAGAAAAGCCCAUCGAUACACCUUUUUCAUCCUUCUACCACUCAGGAGGAAGAGCUGCUUCCCAUUGAGUCUAUGAAUAUUAAUAGCUACAGAGGAUGCUGUUUAAGGUUUUUUCUUUGCUGGGCUGCAGAGUACACGAAGAAGUAAUGGCAUCUUUGCUCUUGAAAUUGUGCCAUAAGCAAUGAGGAUGCUUCUCCUUGGGCUCACUCUGCACUGACAUAGCACUGUAACAGUUUACAGAUUAUCUGGGUCUGAAGUUCCCUCCUCCCACUGGUAGCAGCACCUUGUCACCUCAAACUUUCUGAAAACAACUAGGAGAAUGUGUAAAGUCUAGGGAAAAAAUUAAUGUGUUAAACACAUACCUUAUCAGUAUUUAAAUCUGUAGUUAGGUUUUUUUUUGAAGGAUGUUCUUUUUUUGGAAAGAACUUACUGAGCUGCAUAUUCAUUUCCUCUUUUUCUGCCUCACAGUUGUGGAAGAUCUGUAUUACAGAGUUACACAGAGGGAAAGCAAUGGCUGUGGAAUAGCAGUGUUAACAUGGUUAAUCUCUUGCACUCAAUCGAAGUCAGCUCUGUGAGCUGCUUGGAAAAACACCCCUGGCGACCACUCUGUAUUUUGUUCUUUAUGUUUCAGUGCAUUAGACCACUUGCAGUCAUUCCCAUUCCUUGCUGUAGCACAUACAAAGCCUGAGCAUUCUACUAGCUGCACUAAUUUGAAAGAAAGAUGGCAUGCAGUUGUCUUUGUAUGCAGAAAACAAUGGUCUGUGUGUAGAAAAUGGAUUGCGGACAACCCAGUGCUGGCCAACGUGAGUCACUCUGGUGGUUAAAACUUAGCUGGAAAGAUGAGAACAAGAAAAACCAAGAUGGCAUUCAAGUUGAACAGGAGUCUAUCUUCAUGCAUGGCAUAAAAUAUCUCUAAACACUAUGAGGGUAGGAGAUCAGAGAUGAAAAGGAGGAAAUGAGGAAUGGCUGAGCAACCUGGGUCUGUUCAGCCUGGGGAAAAGAAGAAUGAAGGGGAAUGUCAUUAAUGUUAAUAAAUACGUAAAGGGAGGUGGGAGGCAAAUGAAUGAGGCCAGGCUUUUCUCGGUGGUGUGUGGCAAUAGGGCAAGGAGUAAUGGCCUAAAACUUGAGCAUAGAAGUUCCAUGCAAACAUGCAGCAGAACUUCUUUACGGCAGGGCUGGUGGAGCAGUGGAGCAGGUUGCCCAGAGAGGUAGUGGAGUCUCCUUCUGUGGAGAUAUUCAAGACCCGUCUGGAUGCCUACCUGUGCAACCUGUUGUAGGCUUUAGCAGGGGGUUUAGACUCUAUGAUCUCUGGAGGUCCCUUCCAACCCCUGCAAUUCUGUGAUUUUGUGUGAUUCUGUGAAACCUAGCAAAGGAGUCUAGAAGGUUCUUAAAGCCAGAGCUCUAUGAAGCAAAGCAAAAUUACUAAGCAUUAAUUUAAAGUGUUGAUCAAGAGAUGACAGCAUUAAUAUAAGCAAAUGCAAGAAAGACUUAGAGUUAUGCUGAAACAGUUAAAUGUACGAUGCUAAAACAAUUCUUUUUUUAACGUGCUUCAGUAAGGACUUCUAUUUAACAAAGCAUUUCAAAGACAGUUUCUAAUCUUUGUGGAUUCCAAAUGUAUUUUAACAUUUAUCAUUCAAAAAUUUGAAAAACACUACUGUAGAUAAAAAACAGUGAAUAUUGCUACUCUUUGCAGUACAAUAACUGGAAAUUCAAACACAGGAAUAGCAGACAGUUAUGAUGAAUGUUGAUGAAGACCACCAGUCAAUGAAGAAAGUAGCACACUUGAUCUAUAUCUCUGGCUUAAUUUUUUUUUUUAAUUGUUUAAUUUGUUGUGUUCAGACACUUAUUUUCAGAAGUUAAAAAUAGCAAUCUUGCCUUUUACUAGCAUUUUAAAUCAAAUUGGAUACUCUAGGAUAAAUACUGCCAGCUCAUUUAGGACUCAUUUAGGAGUCAUUCUAUUGAAAUGUAAGUAAACCAGCAGCUCUGAAAGAGACCUUUCAAAGGACAACUUUUUAUUCUAAUUAAAAUCCACGAUGAUUCUAAAAAUGGAGUCAGAUUCUAGAAUCCAAAAGCAUUUAGGAAAAUGUACUUAAAAUGCUAGGUAUGCUGCACCAGUAUUGUAAAAUAAUGUAAAUAGACAUCGUAAUUUGAGCUAAAUCCUAUUCACAUUCAUUUUUGUGUUCUCUGCCUUUUUGUGGCUUGAUACUUGAUGUAUGAAGUCAUUCUGAGAUGGACUGAAGGGAAUGGCAUUGUGUGUCCCAGCGCUCUUUGAAUUAAUGCUGCUCUGUAUUUCCUCAAGGAACAAGCACAUUCACUUUACAUUUAUGGAGAACAGACCCUGGGAAGAAAUUAUUUCUUCCUUAUAAGGAGCAUUGUGUUGGAAUAUCUGUUGGGACAGUUCAGCUCACUAACUUUCUAGGGGUAAAAGCAUCACUGUUACAAGUAAAAUGAUAAUGUGCAAGUGACUUCUUAAAAUGAAACAUGUUGAACUGAUUUACAAUGUUCAGAAUUUCAAAGUAUCAGAAUAGAGAAAUAAGAGUAUUCACCUUUCUUCAGAGUUUUAACUUACUCACUUCCAUUCACAAGAAGUCAAAAGCAGAAAAUCCUGUCUAUGACAGGAAGCUAGAUUUAAUGUCACUCUGGGUUCAUUGUUUCAGAAUUCAUGAACACUCAAAACAAUGUUACUCCUCACAAGCUUUUGAAAACUAUAUUUCUAAGGGAUUAUGUUUUUCUAAUAUCUAAGUAAAAGCAAAUCAGUUUGAAGAAAACAUUUUUCAAUCUUUAAAAUAACUUUCUUCUAGGUAUUCUUUCUCCUUGUUGCAAGUAUGUAUUCUUAAUUGUGGUAAAGUAUCUCUGUAAAGCUUAAAAUAAUAAUAACAAUAAUAAUAAUAAAGCACAUUCUUCAAAGCUUUAAAUUCUCAGACAUCCUCCACCAAUGAUAUGAUAGGCCAGUUCAGAAGUUAAUCAGUUGCAGAAUGCCACCAGUCAGUCUACCAACAUGUGUAGGAACGCUUCAGCACAUACAGUGUAUGGACAGUGGUCUGAAUUGGAGCAUCAUUGCAAUGCUUCUUGUGGAUAAGAUCCUGCACAAACAAACUUUUUAUUUUUUUUAUCCAGCUUCCUCUCUUUAAACUUAACUUUAUUUGAGACUUGUGUGCAUUAGACAUAAUAGCUAUUGUGCUGUGGCAGGAAAUAUAUUAAUUAUUGGAUAGAAAUUCUUCCUGAAGAAAGGCAUGCAAGCCUCAGUCCACUAAUAACAGAAACAAAAGGCUUUGCUUACCCAGAUGUUCACCUGUGGCAAAGGAAGAGAAACGACACAUACUAAAGAUUUGCGUAAGUGCACUUCCCAGGAUGCUGAGUGCUGGUCGGAUGGCUCUAAAGUAGUAAAAAAAUUAGUAGUCUCUGCCUUCCAUCUCAAGAAUUCUGAGUCCAGGUUCAUUUGUGAUGCUGACAGAGCUGAAUGCACAAGUGCUUAGCUUAAAUGUGCCAAAAACUGGAAAUGGAAGCUUCCUACAGGAGCUGAAAUUCCUGCCUAUGUGCUAGAGGUGUGGUGCUUGUUCCUAGGACCCUGGCUGUGUUGCUGCCUCCUUGUCUCCACCAACACAGCCCUGAAGAAGUGUGGGAAGAAGGAGGUGCAGUUACCUGUCCAAUUGUUGCUUCUGCUAUUUGCCAGUCCCCUGUGACCUUCUAUGCCUUCAUAAAUUGUAACUGUGCACCUGCAUAAAGCAUGGAGGCAGGGACAGUCAGAGAUAACUAAGCAACACCAAAAUGGUUCCUGUUUAAACAACUGGCGUUCUUUUAAAAAGCUUGGUUACGAUGUCUGCUUCAUCUGACUUUGUCACCAGUGAUUACAUUUAGCAAACUGGGAGACCUGAGCUGGAGGUUUUUUGUUAACAGUCCAUUUAAACUGAUUACUGAUUGUUAACCUCUUGAUCUACUAAUGUUCAAAAAAUAUUACAGAUUUUCCUCUGCCUCUAACUGGGACUGAAACUUCCUGUUAGGUUUUACAGACUAUUUUUUUUCUUGAUUUGUAUUCAAUGCAAACUUAAGGAAGCACUUUAAAUAUGAGGACUUCUGUAUAACUUAGACACCCCAUGAAAUCAGAGACUGAGACUUUCAAUAUGUCAGAAAAAUGACAUAAAAACUCAGUAUGAGAGUAUGACAUUCUUUGGAGUUGUUUGUUUUUGUUUUUUGUUAGUUUGUUUUUCAGAUAUUAUAUUCUACAUAUAUCUAUAUAGUAGUAUUUGGUAUCAACUCCACCCUUAAGCAAAGUGCCAUCUAAAUGUGAUGGUACUUCAACAGGGUCAGUUGGUCUAAGAAAAACUUUACAUUUGUCCCAGGGCUUUAAAAAGCAUUUGAAAUUUUGUUGCCUAAGUGCUAAAUAGACUGAUGUGUGCUUGUUUUAUCACAUUUUUCCUGCAAAGCCAAGUUUCUGAUCUGUGGAAUGUUCCGUCCAUUUAAAGCAAUCAAUUUUCUGAGUUAAACACAGCUUACCAAUGUGUAAUCAGUGUAUCAGUGAUUCUGAUAUGAUUUCACAUUUUCUUUAUACCAACUAUAUGCAUUUUCUUGCAUAUUUGCCUAUUUCUAAAUCUCUUCUCUCCUUCAUAGCUACCCAUGACUGCACUUUGGUACUGAUUGUUCUCUGUAUGCUGUAAUUCUCUUUUCUGAUAAACACCCUAUAAACAUGCUAUCCACUUACCUUCCUUAUUCUUUGGCUUCCUGCUCAACAAUCUUGGAAAUUGUACCAGAGCUAAUAUCUCAAGAUAAGUUUUGUAGUCAGAUUCAGAAAAUAGAGAUUAAGAUGAGCUGCAUUUCUCCACAUGGAAUAGCAGUGGCACAAUGUACCCAUUUAUUUCCAGAAAAUUAGUGCUUUGAGCUUCUUCCAUAUGGAUUGUUAGGAGUGGCAAGAAUUUGCCAGUUUUAACUACUGAAAAGGAAGGAACCCCUUGAUGCUUGGUAUGUGUCCAUUCUGCUUCACUUCAGGAAGUCAGGCAGAACUCAUGGAAUAAUUCUCUUAUUGCUAGACACUGUCCUCUGCUGGGCUGUAUUUGGAGUCCUUCAGAAGGAAUAGAUACAACAUGGUAAGUAAUGUGGUUCAGAUCCUAUAGGAGACACUGUGUCAGGCUGACUGCAGGCUUAGGCAGAUGUCUCCACCAGUCAUCCUGCGGAUGUUGUGAUCCUUGAACAGAGUGAUAAAAAUCUGCUGUUCAUGUAAAAUACAUUUUUUUGUGGGUCUCCAAAAAAAAAUGGAUAUUCUGGGCAGGGACAGGAGCCUUUGAAUUUAUCCACUGUAGUGAAGUUCUGAUUCUAUUUUGGGUGAUCCUGUGAGGAGCAAGGAGUUGGACUGUUAGAACCUGUUGAGUCCCUUCCAACUCAGGGUAUUCUAUGAUUCUCAAUACCUGCUCCCGCAAACAGAGAAGAAAGAAGAACCUCUCCAGUACCCUGGGUCAGAACUGCUUCCCAGAUAGUAAUUUUAAUAUGUGCUUUGCAGAGCUUUGUUUACAGACGAUGCAAAAAUCAGCUUUAUUUCUGUGGUCCCAUGGUUCUGAGCAGCAGAAAAGAUUGACAGAUUCUGUUUAAUUUUUGUUUUGCUCAGGAUAGCAGCACAGGGAACAAAGCUCUCCAUUCUUAAUUGGUUAACCAGUCCUGAGCUGGUUUGCAGCCUACUCCGGACCUUUCAAUUUAUAAGCACAAAGAAUUUGAUUUUUAUUUAUUUAUUUUUUAAAAAACAAAGGUUUACUGGCUGCAGUUGAAUGGCUGGAGAUCUUUUUAAAGAAGAUAUGAACACGAGUAAGAAGUGGAAGAACUGAGGAAGAGAAGGGCAGAACUAGGGCGAGUAAGAGCUGAAGGAUGACCUAGUUCAUAUAAACCCAGUCUGUUGCCAGCUCCACCCUCUAAAUGGCAUUUACUGCCAGGGAAAUUGAAUCCACCCUGAACUGAUUCUAACAUCAGGAAAAUCCUCCUAAAAUAGCUCUGGGCAUUACAAAAGUUGCAGUUUCCUCUCCCAGUAAUUGAUGCUGUGGUGACAAACUCCAUCUGGUACUCAUGAGUUGCAGUCACCACAUCUGUUAAGGGGAAGAAAGCAACUUUUUCCCUUUGUUCAGUCUCCUGCCGUGUCUGCAAAGAUAGACCAAGGAGUGAAAAAUUGUUUGCUAAGUUGGGGUAUGUGUUGAAAGGGAUAGUGUGAUGGUGUCCUCUGUAGUAGCAGCUUGGAAAUGAAUCUGCAACCUAUGUUGACUCAGGUUUUUAAGAUGUGUUAAAUGAAGAACCACUUUAAGAGUAACUGGGGAUUUGUCUGAGUUGCAUUAUUGCCAUUGGAUGUGAGUUUAUUUCAUCCUGUUUACUAAAUGGGAAGUAUAACCAUGGCAACAUUCAUGACACGCUCUGCAUGAAUCUGCCAGCACAGGAGUGAAAUUAGAAGACAACCAUUUGAAAGUGGCUUGAGAACUCAAAAAGCAAGUUUCAUGUGACAGUCCAGAUGAUAAAUACACUUCAGAAUCUGUAGAGCGGACAUUAUGCUACAUUUACUAGUUUGGUUUAAGCUGGUCUCAGCAAGAAUAUUUGUGGUAUCACUUGUAUAGAUCUUAACUCAGUGAAUGAAAGCAUGGUGGUGUAAAUACUAAGUCACUAGUGAUUCUGAUGAGCUUCUUGACCUUAAUUUUGUGUGAAGCAUACUUAGAAACACAAACACUUCCAGACUUUUAUGCUUACACGCAGCACAAAGAUAUUUGAAAUCUGUUUACUUCAGGGAAAAAGAGACAGAAUGAUGAUUCCUAGACAAGAUGGAAUUUCUGCUUUCCACUUAUAAAGAAAAAAAGCCUGGGGUGAAUGGAAGUAUGAAGGGGAAUAUAAAAGGAACUUUCUAGAUCAGAGUCCAUGCUCUGCAGUCCCAGGUAUAAACUGUUGAUAAAUGUAGUCUAAUAACUAAUUCCUGUAGGUGUUUCCUGUUGUAAUACUUUGGAGAUAUCUUUUAAAUGGAAAAUUGUGGUCUGACACAAUGAAGUUGGGCUGAGUAAUAAACUGCUUCUUCAUAUCUCUCCACAGGUCACUUGUUUCAGAACGGAACAGUCUAACUACACAUUUCUGAGUGAGAGUGAUAGAAGCUAUCACAAGUAACACUGCAUAAAGAUAUUUCCCCACUUUUGCUUGUGCUUUUAUGUGAGGCUAUCUUCACCAUUUUUGUUUAAGUUAGUUCCCUUUUCGUGUGCAUCUAUCACGUACCAGGAAAGUCAUGUUUCUGUAAUUAAGCCUCACAAGCCAUUCAGGAGAUGUGUAGGAGAAUGCAGAACUGCUUGAACUCAUUUUUGAAAGUUGGCUAGAUUCUGACUCUGCCCUUUCAACAGAUGCUCAGAACAGUGACUGCUUUUUAUUGCCUCAGCACACCAUCUUGGGAUAACACAUCAGCCAGUCUGAUGGAAUAUUUUAUGUGGAGUUACUACUUUCCAUGAGUCAGUGCUGUAAAAGGCAAUUACGUCUGCAAAGAACACUGCAUCAUUCAAGUCCCUUGCUGCCCUCAUGACUAGAAGCAGUACAUUUAGGGUGGCUUAUGUCAGUCCUAAGAAUUAUACAAAUCUACAGAAAUGAUGGAACUGUUGCUAUAAAAAUACAAGAGACCAAAUAAUUAAUUAUGUUUUCACAUAUGGGUAAAAACUGAUACUUCUAUCACUUUGAAAGUUAAGAAAAAGCACAUGCUUUUCUAGUAGUAGUUUGGGAACAUAUUAUCCAUCAGAGCUAGCUUUAAAGUACCACGUUCAGCUAACUUGAAUUCACUGUCUGUAUUAAAACUGAUUGAGCAGCUAUCUGGAUUGUUGUUUGUUUUUAUUAUAAUUUAAACUAGGAAAGACAAUCUAGAGGGCUUGACAAAGUGAAGAGAGCUGGUAGUAAAUGGGUAAAAUAGGACAGUCCAGAUCAGUCAUCAGUCUGUUGCAAAAAAAUACUUAAUUGGUAUCAGUCUGAUCAAUAAACUAUUAAAAGAAAUCAGUAGAACUAAGGGAUAAUAUAUACUGUGAGUGUAUACAAAAAAUAGAUCUGACCAUAGAUUUUUAUAAAAUACGCUUAAUAAAACAUGUAGCAUUUACAUAACAGUACUGCUUAUGUAGUUUUUAGAUGACUUCUGGACAUUUUAACUUACUACUUCAUGACACCUUUUAUAUGUCUAGCUAAUUUAUUCAUUAUGACCUGUUUAGUAAUAGAAUAUUUGUAAACUAACAAUUGAAAAAUAAAUAGCAAAUGGGGGAUUCUGAAUGAGCAUAUUAGGAUUAUUUUAGGAAUUGGUUUUGGCCUUCUGUUAUUUAUAUUUGUGUUUGUUUCAAAUGGCAUCAAAGUCUAUACAGAAUUAAUAACCAUAGCUUAUAGAUUAUCCAAAAGUAUGGAAAUGUAACGUACAAAAAAACAAGUCUAUUAUGUGGUCCAGAUGACUUAGUAAGUUGGGUGUGAGCAGGCAACUGUUUUGUGGGUAACUAUUAAGUCAUGCAUUUGUUAACAGUGAAAGCACACUGUCCUUUUUACGUAUCCGUUUAGUCUACUCAUCAAAUACUAGAGCUCAAGAAGGACCAGAGCAGAACCCAGAUUUGAGACCACUGAAGGUUAGUUGGGCAAGAGGUUUUCAAAACACAGUCUCCUAAGAAACACAACAUUUUGCUUUAGGGAAAUAUAUGGUUCCAGAUUCUUUGGGCAUCAUGGCAAUGAUCAUCUUUAAAACGUGGUUGUGUUGCAUACUUGAACAACUUUAUUGUGGCUUGUCAAAGGAAUGCUUCAACAUUCCCAUACUAUAGAUUAACUAUACUUUUGAAUUUUGAGCCAGUCUUUUAAAAUAUUUUUCUUACACUAUAGGUGUUUCUAUUUCUCUGCCUUGCAUAGCUUUUUCAUAUGUAUGUGUUUGCUAUCAUUCAAGACUACAUUGUCAUAUUGUCAUCUAAUCACCAUCAAGUUGUCAGACCAUGUUUUUGGCCUGUGUAGACAAUACUGAUGUCAGAGGAUCUUUUAUCUCUCUAAGUGGACCAACUUAUGCAAAACAGCCUUAAAGACAAUGGUUCUCACUAAAUCAAAAAACAAACGAACAAAAGGAAUAUGUAUUAUUCUUUCUGUGCACUCAUUCUUCUUUACCUCUCUCAAAUUCACUCUUGCCAGUGCAAGAGCCCAACACAAUUGCCCCAGCUCAUUUCUCAGCAAGCCUAUUGGUACAGCUGUAACAAAUGAGGGAAUAAAACCAUGUCUAGAAAUUAUUCCCAUAGUCUUAUUAUCAUUAUGGCAGAGUUAGUGCUGCCAGCGCCUUCUUCAUCUUCAUAAAAAAUGUGUUUUGCCAGGAUCUCAGUAGAACGGAAAAUGCUGGUUGGAAUUUUUCUUCUGUUAAUGUGUUUUUAUUUGGGGAUUUGGAGGGGAAAUGAAAAAGUGCAGAGGGAUUUAUCAAGGAAGGUAACAAUGAAAUAACUCCUUAAUUUAGAUUUUUUGUGGAAAAAAAAAAGCCUUAUAUAGUUCUUGGUUAUAGAGAAAAUCUCCAUGGAGUACAAUAGCAAUACUAGUUCUGUGUUUAGCACUGAAAUAAUUUUUGCUCAAGUUUGCUUUGUCCAGUUCAGGAUUCAAGAAGACUGCUGGUAGACAGAAAAUGUUGGGUGAAGAACCAGAAAAAUAAUUGAUUCAUAAGGCAUAGGAUGAGUGAUGCAAGGAGGUUCUUCUGGUUUUGGGACAGUUUGAUGGGAAUUAUAAUGGGUUUUCAAUCUCUACUAGUUUAGGCUUCAAGAGAUGUCUUUCUUAAAAUACAUGCUCUAACUGAACUGAGAAGUAGUUCAGGAAAUCUCAGGGACCUCUAUGACAAAACAGAUCAGCCUCAAGUGGUAACAGUAAAUGAUCUAGCCUUACCUCUGAUAGGAACUAAGCUGGUUUUGGUUCUUUCUUCAGCUCUGCUGUGGGCUUAUCUCAUGCUUCCAUUUUUUGCCUAUUAAUGCUAACAGUUGUAUUGUAGCAUGAGAGCACUGCAGGAGUUUUAAGUAGAAGCAUAACUGCCUAAAUGAUAUAGUCUGGCAAGGAAUGCAGACUGCUGAAAACCUGAACUAAAGAUGUACACAGAGAACAACCAGCCACACAUGAAAUUUCAAUAUUCCCUUUUCUUGCUUAUUCCUGUUUCUGAGCAAUAUUCUUGUGAACUAACAGUUCAUCUAUGCUACUGUAUAAGCUUGCAGCCAUAUGCAGAAUGUGGAAUACUGUUUUGGAUUAGAAGUCCUAGUAUCAACUGUUGUAUUCUUGCAUGAUUUUAAAUGCACCAUGUGCAUUAUGUGUUCAUGUGGACACCUGAUCUUUUUGCUUCUCCAGAACUCACAGCUUAUGUUUGAAAUCAUGUAAAGUGAUAAACAGUCCUAAAGAAAAAAAUGCAAAAGUAAUCAGCAACACUAGCUUAUGAUUAUUUACAGCAAACUAAUUCCCACUUUGCACAUAGAAAACUUAAACUAUGUCUUUGCCUGGCUGAAAACUUCCUUUCUGCAAGUAAUAAAAAAAAAAUUUGAAGAUCCCUUACAAUAGUUACUUCAGAUUUCUUGCAGCUUGAGGCAAAACCACAUUGGCAGAAAGACAGUGUCCUAUCUCUGAUGGCUCUUAAGCCUCUCUGAACCUGACCUGAAUAUGAACUUGCACAAAAGGGACCUCUGUGCAGUGACAAGAACUUGAAAACAGAAAAUAAUUAUGUAAGAAAUUCAAAAUAAGUUGGGGAGCGUGUUUGAAUGACAUCAGCAUUCAGAGUAGUUCCUUAAGAAGAUCUGGAUGCUUGUAUCCCCCACUGCCAUGUGGUUUCCUUUACAUUCAGCUGAAUUUUCUAUUGAGCUUCCUCCAAGGUGAAACCUUAUCCCUGACAGCAAUCCUUGCCUUUUGGUGCAAAGUUGGCCUUGCUAUCCUGUGCAAGUCUCCCAACUCUUGAAAUACUUUGAUACUGAUGAGAAAGGGGUGUGUUUAAAAAGAAAGAAAGAAGAUCACAGAUAAGUCCCUGUGUUUUCCCAUGCCAUCUUGCAGAAGCUAAUAAAUUAAUUUAUUUUGAAAGUCAAUGGAAAGAAGAAUAUCCUUAUUGUUUUGAAGACAAUAGCUCACACUGGUCACCUCAUCAUUGCAGCACUGACCAGCAGGCAGCUGUGCUAAUUGCUGACCUUGCUAUCAGAAGCUCCAGGGCUUAGCCUCUGUUCAGGUGAAAUAAGUUUUUAACUAAACUUCCAAACAGUUGAAUUUUACUACUGAGGAGAUUCUUUAUACACUUUUAGGAGUAGUUUUUCACAUUUACGUUCUCAUCAGACUGCCUUCAAUGCCCUUUUAGUUUCACUGGUCACCACUCACUGAGGAGUACUUGUGAUGUGCUAUUACUUCCUCAUUUAUCUUUUGAUCAGAUAACUGUUUGACUACAUUUAAAAAAAAAAAAAAUCUACAGCUAAGCAAAGCAUCUAAUUUCCACAGAUAGGUCUUAUGUCAUAGGCCUGAAUCUCUUAGGUGGAUGGUCCACUGCUUCCAUGCCUCAAGAGCUCUGGUUUUGGACUUCAUGCUUUAAAGAAUUAUCUUUAACUUUGAAUAUUUGGGUGUCCCCUCUGCUGACAACUCUCAGUGAGACAGGAGGCUCCAAAGUACAACUGUUGGGAUGUGCCUCCAUUGUUGAUUUUUGCCAUCUCCUGCAGGAGUCUUGUGUCUUCUUACAUGCACUCAGCAUUUGCUGCUCUGUGUGCAACUAUGCUUGACUAUAAUUUCCCCCUUUCUCAUAAGCAUCUGAAGAAGUGAAUUUUGAUCUCUGUCUUGGGGAACGGAGGAAAAAUCUACUUCGUUCUUUCCCCAGCUUUGCUUUCUUCUUUGCAUUGAAGGAUGUUUUUCUUCUGAAAGAGCCCUUUUAAAGAUUGCUGAUGAGAUUUUCAUGGGAUAUGGACCAAGCUUAUGUUGAAGUGCUUUGAUAACAGUCAAUUGUUUGUAGCAGCAAUUUAACUGCUCCACCAGGCUGAAAGUAUUUCUGUUUGAGGUACUCUUGAAGGCUGUUUAAGCUCCACAGAUACCAUCUUAUUUUUGCUACAAAAAGGAGAGUCUAAUCUGCACUUUAAAUUGCAAUGAAAUACUAUCCACAAACUGGCAGCCAUUCCCCAGACUCUCACACCUUGAUUUUAACAUAAGAGCUGACUGACACAAUCAGAUCAAAUGAACUUCCAGAAUUUUUUGCUACAUCUAAUAGGCAGCAUUUCUCAUUCAAGUUUCCUAUAGUGAGGUUACAUCUCCAGCAAUAGUCUAGAUUCUCAUCUGGUGUAAAUUAUCAUAGUUCUCCUCAACUUCAAUGGACUUUAUAAUUUAUACCAUCUGAAAUUCUGCAUUUGAAAACCCAAUAAUGAAAAGCAGAUGCUAUAUUAACUGUUCUGAAAAAAUGAUAAGUGCCUAGUUUGUGUCUGAGUCUAGUUAUCAUAAAACCUGUUACUCACUGCCAGCAGUCCACCGCUAACUGGAGAAUUAAAGUCCUGUGUCCUGUAUCUGAGUAACUGA